UCCUCCUCUCCUCCUCACUCCCGUGCCUCCCUCCUCCCCAGCCCGCCACCGUCCCUCCUCCCUAGCCUGCCGCCCUCCCUCCUCCCCAGCUCGCCGCACUAGUUUUGCCCCCAUCAGCCUCGUUUUUGUUGCAAAACCUGGGUGGGGCGAGGCUGCCAUGGAGGUUGGACGAGGAAGUCACAUCUAGGGCAUUUCUGGUGGAGAAGUGGGAGAGGGAGGUGGUUCUGGAGGUGGAGCAGGGGGGGGAUCUCGAGGGGCCAUGCUGGGACGGAGGUGGAGGAGCACCAACGGGGUGGAGCGGGGCUGGAGGUGGAGGAGCAGCAAGGGGCAGAGAGAAUGAGACAAGAGAAGGAGAAGAAGAAGAGAAGAUCAUCACCCUCCGAUUUCUAUUGCUCAGGCUUCAAGGGGUGUGAGUGGAGGAGGGUGUGCACUGAUGCUUCCCUUUCCUUGGGUGUGAGGAAGCGUGUACAUUCACAAGGAAAAGAUGUGUGAAAUGGGCGUAAAUGACUGGUUGAUAUGUGCUCACGCAAUGGUGGUGAUGGGUCUGAGCGCCAAGACGCCCGACUAGAGGUGUUACCUUCUCAACAAAGGGCAGAAUAGAAAAAACGAUGCUAGAUAGCUAUUUGGAAAUGCAAGGCACGUCAGAUGAAGGAGAAGGGAUUGAGGACAUGUAGAUAUGAUGUUUCUUAAGUUUCAUAAUGAAGGAGAAGGGCUCCCCGAUGCAAG